rnacentral:rRNA from 1 species
CAGUCGAGCGGUAGCACAGAGAGCUUGCUCUCGGGUGACGAGCGGCGGACGGGUGAGUAAUGUCUGGGAAACUGCCUGAUGGAGGGGGAUAACUACUGGAAACGGUAGCUAAUACCGCAUAACGUCGCAAGACCAAAGAGGGGGACCUUCGGGCCUCUUGCCAUCAGAUGUGCCCAGAUGGGAUUAGCUAGUAGGUGGGGUAACGGCUCACCAAGGCGACGAUCCCUAGCUGGUCUGAGAGGAUGACCAGCCACACUGGAACUGAGACACGGUCCAGACUCCUACGGGAGGCAGCAGUGGGGAAUAUUGCACAAUGGGCGCAAGCCUGAUGCAGCCAUGCCGCGUGUAUGAAGAAGGCCUUCGGGUUGUAAAGUACUUUCAGCGGGGAGGAAGGUGCUGAGGUUAAUAACCUCAGCAAUUGACGUUACCCGCAGAUUAAGCACCGGCUAACUCCGUGCCAGCAGCCGCGGUAAUACGGAGGGUGCAAGCGUUAAUCGGAAUUACUGGGCGUAAAGCGCACGCAGGCGGUCUGUCAAGUCGGAUGUGAAAUCCCCGGGCUCAACCUGGGAACUGCAUUCGAAACUGGCAGGCUAGAGUCUUGUAGAGGGGGGUAGAAUUCCAGGUGUAGCGGUGAAAUGCGUAGAGAUCUGGAGGAAUACCGGUGGCGAAGGCGGCCCCCUGGACAAAGACUCACGCUCAGGUGCGAAAGCGUCCGGGGAGCAAACAGGAUUAGAUACCCUGGUAGUCCACGCCGUAAACGAUGUCGACUUGGAGGUUGUGCCCUUGAGGCGUGGCUUCCGGAGCUAACGCGUUAAGUCGACCGCCUGGGGAGUACGGCCGCAAGGUUAAAACUCAAAUGAAUUGACGGGGGCCCACACAAGCGGUGGAGCAUGUGGUUUAAUUCGAUGCAACGCGAAGAACCUUACCUACUCUUGACAUCCAGAGAACUUUCCAGAGAUGGAUUGGUGCCUUCGGGAACUCUGAGACAGGUGCUGCAUGGCUGUCGUCAGCUCG